CUGUAUCGUAUGCAAACCAUCAUACUUGUGUAAACUUGCAAACUAAUGAUUUGGACCCCAUGAUGCUCAUCCAAAGGCUGUGGAGAGAGGUGGGACUUUUUUACAUUUAAUACCCCGCCAGGCACUAGUAAUUGUGUUUUAUUUUUCAAAUAACCCCCUAAUCACCCGAUGGUCCAGUAGAGAAAAAACCCCCUAAUCGCUCCAGUCUUGUAAGUCAGCCGCCGCCGGUCCAUCUUCGUAUUGUAUGCGCUGCGUCUCUUCGACUCUACUGCCGCCGCUGCUCCUCGUCGUGACUCACCGGCCACCGGACUCGAAGAUGCUGCCCACGGACGUCGCCCCGUUGCUGCCCACGGAUGUCGCCCCGUUGCUGCCCACG
rnacentral:lncRNA from 1 species